UACGCAGGGUGCGAGCGUUGUCCGGAAUUACUGGGCGUAAAGAGCUCGUAGGUGGUUUGUCGCGUUGUUCGUGAAAACUCACAGCUUAACUGUGGGCGUGCGGGCGAUACGGGCAGACUGGAGUACUGCAGGGGAGACUGGAAUUCCUGGUGUAGCGGUGGAAUGCGCAGAUAUCAGGAGGAACACCGGUGGCGAAGGCGGGUCUCUGGGCAGUAACUGACGCUGAGGAGCGAAAGCGUGGGGAGCGAACAGG
rnacentral:rRNA from 1 species